UACUGUUUGUGAUGAUUCAAUUAAAACAAUGGGAAUCUCUCUGAAAGAGGCUGAGGAGGACUUUUGCACUGAAACAGUA